UACUCUUAUUUAUCAUAUACUUAGCAUUAAUAUGAUAGCUUUUGCAUAUGUGUAACGAACGGAAGUACACAAGCCAUAAUUUCCCACCCAGGCUGAUAACCCAUAUCAGCCCGGUCUGAUAACCCAUAUCAGGGGCGUCUCGUGCAAAAACCCAUAACAGUGCUUCUCGUGCAAGUUACUUCCGGUGUUUCCGGUAUCGGUUGUUUAUUUUUCCAUUGUGACGUCAGAUAUUGAUGACGACGUCAAAAUUUACGGGAACUUUUGUGGGGAUAGUUUAGUACUUGCUAACAAAUGCCAUUGGCAAUUAUGAAUCAUUUUAUAGUACAACAAACAUGGAGUAAUAAUGA
rnacentral:lncRNA from 1 species